CCUGCCCUCUGAGGCCUUGCAGGUGUGGCUGCUGUGUCACAUGUGCAUCAGCAGGUGGCAGAGAGGAGAAAGGCUAUGUCUGCCCUCAGAGUUUUGACCAAUUAACUUCUGAAUGAUUAGUAGCCUAACAUU
rnacentral:snoRNA from 1 species